rnacentral:rRNA from 2 species
UGGGGAAUAUUGCACAAUGGGGGAAACCCUGAUGCAGCCAUGCCGCGUGUGUGAAGAAGGCCUUCGGGUUGUAAAGCACUUUCAGCGAGGAGGAAAGGUUGGUAGCUAAUAACUGCCAGCUGUGACGUUACUCGCAGAAGAAGCACCGGCUAACUCCGUGCCAGCAGCCGCGGUAAUACGGAGGGUGCAAGCGUUAAUCGGAAUUACUGGGCGUAAAGCGCACGCAGGCGGUUGGAUAAGUUAGAUGUGAAAGCCCCGGGCUCAACCUGGGAAUUGCAUUUAAAACUGUCCAGCUAGAGUCUUGUAGAGGGGGGUAGAAUUCCAGGUGUAGCGGUGAAAUGCGUAGAGAUCUGGAGGAAUACCGGUGGCGAAGGCGGCCCCCUGGACAAAGACUGACGCUCAGGUGCGAAAGCGUGGGGAGCAAACAGG